GAGUUUGAACCUGGCUCAGGAUGAACGCUGGCGGCGUGCCUAAUACAUGCAAGUCGAGCGAACCACUUCGGUGGUGAGCGGCGAACGGGUGAGUAACACGUAGGUGAUCUGCCCAUCAGACGGGGACAACGAUUGGAAACGAUCACUAAUACCGGAUAGGACGAAAGUUUAAAGGUGCUUCUGGCACCGCUGAUGGAUGAGCCUGCGGCGCAUUAGCUAGUUGGUAGGGUAAAGGCCUACCAAGGCGACGAUGCGUAGCCGACCUGAGAGGGUGAACGGCCACACUGGGACUGAGACACGGCCCAGACUCCUACGGGAGGCAGCAGUAGGGAAUCUUCGGCAAUGGGCGAAAGCCUGACCGAGCAACGCCGCGUGAAUGAUGAAGGCCUUCGGGUUGUAAAAUUCUGUUAUAAGGGAAGAACGACUUUAGUAGGAAAUGGCUAGAGUGUGACGGUACCUUAUGAGAAAGCCACGGCUAACUACGUGCCAGCAGCCGCGGUAAUACGUAGGUGGCGAGCGUUAUCCGGAAUUAUUGGGCGUAAAGAGCGCGCAGGUGGUUGAUUAAGUCUGAUGUGAAAGCCCACGGCUUAACCGUGGAGGGUCAUUGGAAACUGGUCGACUUGAGUGCAGAAGA
rnacentral:rRNA from 1 species